rnacentral:rRNA from 1 species
UACGGAGGGGGCAAGCGUUGUUCGGAAUUACUGGGCGUAAAGGGCUCGUAGGCGGCCAACUAAGUCGGAUGUGAAAUCCCCAAGCUUAACUUGGGAACUGCAUCCGAUACUGGAUGGCUUGAAUCCGGGAGAGGGAUGCAGAAUUCCAGGUGUAGCGGUGAAAUGCGUAGAUAUCGGGAGGAACACCCGUAGCGAAGGCGGCCGACUGGACCACACCUGACGCUGAGGCGCGAAGGCCAGGGGAGCGAACGGG